rnacentral:rRNA from 1 species
AUUGAACGCUGGCGGCAUGCCUUACACAUGCAAGUCGAACGGCAGCAUGAUCUAGCUUGCUAGAUUGAUGGCGAGUGGCGAACGGGUGAGUAAUACAUCGGAACGUGCCCUGUAGUGGGGGAUAACUAGUCGAAAGAUUAGCUAAUACCGCAUACGACCUGAGGGUGAAAGUGGGGGACCGCAAGGCCUCAUGCUAUAGGAGCGGCCGAUGUCUGAUUAGCUAGUUGGGGAGGUAAAGGCUCACCAAGGCGACGAACAGGAGCUGGUCUGAGAGGACGAUUGCGCCCCCUGGGGCGUGAGCACCGCCCCCGCCCCUGAGGGAGGGCCCAGUGGGGAAUUUUUGGCAAUGGGGGGAAACCUUGCCCCACGAGUGCCGGUUUGGUGAAGAAGCCCUGCGGGUGGUAAGACAUUUUUGGCGGGAAAAAAAUGGUUUUGGUUAAAACCUGGGGUCGUGACGGUACCCGAAGAAAAAGCGCCGGCCAACUUCCUG